AGGAACUCCCCCUUCUGCCAAACAGCACCUUUUACUGUUGCUUUUUGUUUUGUUUCGCAAAACAGGGGAAUAGUGCCUUGAGGACUCUGCUUUCUGCCUUGUACCAAAGAACCACAGUAUGCUGCUUUUAUUUUAUGUUGAUUUUUUGGGUAAGACUUGCUCUGAGGACAAUACUGCAACUUCUUUUUUUUAAAGAACCAUUUUCUUUUCUUUUAAAUAUAUAUAUGUUCAUUUAACACACUGGUGUUAAAUUCAUUCUUGCUGCAAAAGAAGGCCAUUGUACUUCCUGACCCCAAAAGCAAGAUGAAGUAACUGAGACACCAAAGGUUAAUUGCUCACCCAAAGCCAUGCAGCAACUCUGUUGGAGUUACUUUAGUGUCUAAAAUUCCACAUUGUAUACUUUUAGCAAAAUCAAUAGUCACCCAUUCAAAUGAGGAGAUGGUAAUUAGAGAUGGGACAGACCCCCAACAUAUCCUUCGUUUGAAGAUAGAGUAAAUUCAGUGAGAUCAUCUACUUCUUUUCAUUUUCUUUCUCAGAAGAAUAUGUGUUUUUUCCCUACCCAAAUGUUUCAGUGAACAUUGCAGCUGUGCAGCAAGAGGCAGUUUGGCAUGCAUAUAGUC